rnacentral:rRNA from 1 species
AUUGAACGCUGGCGGCAGGCCUAACACAUGCAAGUCGAGCGGAUGACGGGAGCUUGCUCCUUGAUUCAGCGGCGGACGGGUGAGUAAUGCCUAGGAAUCUGCCUGGUAGUGGGGGACAACGUUUCGAAAGGAACGCUAAUACCGCAUACGUCCUACGGGAGAAAGCAGGGGACCUUCGGGCCUUGCGCUAUCAGAUGAGCCUAGGUCGGAUUAGCUAGUAGGUGAGGUAAUGGCUCACCUAGGCGACGAUCCGUAACUGGUCUGAGAGGAUGAUCAGUCACACUGGAACUGAGACACGGUCCAGACUCCUACGGGAGGCAGCAGUGGGGAAUAUUGGACAAUGUGCGAAAGCCUGAUCCAGCCAUGCCGCGUGUGUGAAGAAGGUCUUCGGAUUGUAAAGCACUUUAAGUUGGGAGGAAGGGUUGUACGUUAGUACCGUGCAAUUUUGACGUUACCGACAGAAUAAGCACCGGCUAACUCUGUGCCAGCAGCCGCCGUAACAC